GUACACGCUGUGACUAGCAUAUCAAUAAGCGGAGGAAAAGAAACUAACAAGGAUUCCCCUAGUAACGGCGAGUGAAGCGGGAAGAGCUCAAAUUUGAAAUCUUAAAGGGUUUCCCUUUACGAAUUGUAGUUUAAAGAAGGUGUUUUCUGUUGAGGUUUUGGUAAAAGUUCUUUGGAAUAGGACAUCAUAGAGGGUGAGAAUCCCGUAUUUGACCUUUACUUUCAACUUUGUGAUACACUUUCAAAGAGUCGGAUUGUUUGGGAAUGCAGUCCAAAAUGGGUGGUAAAUUUCAUCUAAAGCUAAAUAUUGGCGAGAGACCGAUAGCGAACAAGUACCGUGAGGGAAAGAUGAAAAGAACUUUGAAAAGAGAGUUAAACAGUACGUGAAAUUGUCAAAAGGGAAGCGUUUGACACCAGUGUUGUUUUUCUGAAAAUCAAUUAAAGAACUGUUUAUGCUAAGUUGUUUAGACUUUAUCAGCUAACUGUUUAGUUUUGAGCUUUUCUUUAAUGCACUUUUCAGCUAACAAGUCAACAUCAAUUUCUUUUGCUGUAAAAAAGCUUGAGGAAGGUGGCUUGAGAUUCGUCUUAAGUGUUUAUAGCCUCUUGCCUAUGCAGUCGGAGAGAUUGAGGUCUGCAGCGUAGAUCCUUCGGGGCUAAAUGCAUUUGUGCUAAGUUAUAGCAUUUCAUAGACAACUUGUUGACUAUGAUUUGUCUUGUAGCUUACUCGCUUAUGUUAUUUUACCUACGCUUAGGAUGUUGACAGCAGUAUAGACUGU
rnacentral:rRNA from 1 species